UUUCCGUAGGUGAACCUGCGGAAGGAUCAUUACCAUGUUUAAUCCAAAAAACACUCAAACCCAUGUGCACUAUGAUUUGUCUGUCUUUGGGGUGGAAGAAACUAAAGAGUUAUUCAAUUGGCUCGUAGCUGAUUUCACCCCACAUGUGUAAACAUCCUUUUUAUUUUGUAUUGGCAUCUUACUUGUCUUAAUAAAUAAUAGACAACUUUUAACGGUGGAUCUCUUGGCUCGU
rnacentral:misc_RNA from 1 species